GUAGGGAAUAUUGCGCAAUGGGGGAAACCCUGACGCAGCGACGCCGCGUGAGUGAUGAAGGCCUUCGGGUCGUAAAGCUCUGUUGCAGGGGAAUAAAAAAAUGAAGGUACCCUGUGAGGAAGGAUCGGCUAACUUCGUGCCAGCAGCCGCGGUAAGACGAGGGAUCCUAGCGUUGCUCGGAAUCAUUGGGCGUAAAGAGGGCGUAGGUGGCUUGGUAAGUCAGGUGUGAAAGCCCAGGGCUCAACCCUGGAAGUGCAUUUGAUACUGCUGAGCUUGAGUGUCGGAGAGGUUACCGGAAUACCUGGUGUAGUGGUGAAAUACGUAGAUAUCAGGUGGAACACCGGAGGCGAAGGCGGGUAACUGGACGAACACUGACACUGAGGCCCGAAAGCGUGGGGAUCAAACAGGAUUAGAUACCCCAAUAGUCC
rnacentral:rRNA from 1 species